GCCGGGCACCAUGGCACGUGCCUAUGGUCCCAGCUACUGGGGAUGCCGAGGUGGGAGGACUGCUAGAGCCCAGGAGUUCUGAGCUGCAAUGCACUAUAUCUGUCGUGUGUCCGCACUAAGUUCGGCAUCAAUGUGGUGACCUCGUGGGAGUGGGGGACAACCAGGUUGCCUAAGGAGAGGUGAACUGGUCCAGGCUGGAAACGGAGCAGGUCAAAACUCCCAUGCUGAUCCGCAGUGGGAUCACGCCUGUGAAUAGCCACUGCACUCCAGCCUGGGCAACACAGUGAGACACUGCCUCU
rnacentral:SRP_RNA from 1 species